UACAGAGGUCUCAACCGUUGUUCGGAUUCAUUGGGCGUAAAGGGUGCGUAGGCGGCGGGGUAAGUCAGGUGUGAAAUCUCGGGGCUCAACCCCGAAACUGCACUUGAUACUGCCUCGCUUGAGUACUGGAGAGGAGACUGGAAUUUACGGUGUAGCAGUGAAAUGCGUAGAUAUCGUAAGGAAGACCAGUGGCGAGGGCGAGUCUCUGGACAGUUACUGACGCUGAGGCACGAAGGCCAGGGGAGCAAACGGG
rnacentral:rRNA from 1 species